UCCCUCUUCGCCUUGGCGUCCUGUGAUUCAAGAGGAGGCCGGACACGCGGUGGUUUCCUUGGAAGGGAACUCCUAGUGUAUAGCUAGUCUCCAAAAGUGACUCUAGCGUUUCCCAGGGCAGCUCUAGCUCUUUGCUAGUUUUCGGAGGCAACUCUAUAGCGUGGAGAGUACACCUCCACAGUACGAUUGCAUGCUAAUAAGGUUCAAAGAAGUGUUCAACCAAAAUAUUUCAAAUACGACAAGUGUUCAAAUAUAUUGUUAGGUCCAAAGAAGGGUUUAAGGAAAUGUUGCAAGUUUUCUCUUUUGUUUACCACCAUUCGGCAAGAGAUCAACGGAGGGAGAUCCACACUCCACUUUAAUUGCUUCACCUCAUGGCGUCAGCACGAACAAAGCCACAACGAAUGUGUCAGUGACCACAUAUGCAAAGCCGAGCCUAGAGAAAUAGGGAACGACAUAGUGCCUUUUAGCCCAUAUCUCUAUCUCUACUACUAUAAUGUGUCAGUUUAAAAUUUGGAUUUACCACGUUUGUCUUGGCUUUCCCGCCAAAACAGCACUCGAGUGAUUGCAGCCGUUGAUUUGCCAAGAUGGACUAACAGCGACCGUUCAUCCAUCAUCAAAGCUAAGAAUCCAACGGCUAGCGUGCGCUGGAUUCGCCAGUCCUGUCACACACAUCUGCCCCCGCAACACGUUGCGUGCCUGGGAGCUACGCGACAUUUCUAGAGCCCUGUCCGUUUGAGGACUUGUCACUUGUGGGCCGAGUGAAUUUUUUGCCUGGCCCAGCCGGAGUGGAUGUAUCACUGCAACCAAGAUUACAUAGCAAUAUACCUCUAAAAAAGAUUACGUACCAAUAUACCCAACCAAACCCCAAGCAACGUAGAAGAAAACUAAAUCUGAAGCUUCACAUUCUAUUGCACACCAUCUUUGCAUUUUAUAUGAUGAACGUUUCUUUAGUCCACUAAAGCAUUUAUUUUUAACUGGAGUUUACAAGUAAAACCAACUAAUAGGAAAGUGCAAUAACAAAAAACGUCAAUAGUUGAGAGGUUAAUUUGUCUAAACUGCACCAUCAAUGAACAUUUCCAUUCUUAAAGAUAACUGUACCAUUCCAUCAAUGAAUAUCUUAGUUCUUAAACACAUGUUGAGACAUCAAAAAGAAAAUAACUUGUGUCUAUAUCAAACUCAUUUAGCUUGACCUAGAACAUGUUUUCCAGAAAAAUCAAUAGAGUAGAUUCUGUUAUCACAAUUUCAGAUUUCUUAUGUACAUAUAAUUUUAUUGGUAUUGGACAUUUGGCAAUUGGAAUAGUCUGGAACUAUUCAAGCUGUUUUUAUUUGCAUUUUCCAAAAUUUAUACAACAGUCAUAUUAAUACCAAAAUUUCACAAGAAUAUGCCAAUUGUAAAGUUUAUGAAAAAAACUUAUGCCUGAUUUGAAAAUAACAUUACUUCAGAAUAAAUUAUUUGCUUGACCGUCUUAUCUUUAUAUCUUACUAUAUAAGCAUAUUCAAUUUCUGAUAACAGUCGUAUUACCCCCUCCCUUCUGGUUUAAAAGGUCCAAUUCAAAAAACUCUCAAACCAAGGUAGAUGGUGGGUGAUGUAAUAAACUUCAUAUUUUGUGAAAGUACUCAAUUAGCGUACUCAUUUUCCUCAAGAAUGGAGUUCAUCGACACGUUAAUUUGAAUUAACUGCAAUGCAUGCAUGUGUGACCACUAAAUGGCCAGAGACUUCUACAUACAUUUGUGAGUUUUCUUUUAAUUCUUGCAUACAACGAUUUAACGUGACUCGAAAUCUAAAAAGGUGACCGAGAACAAUAAAAACAAGACUUACAAAGCAAAAAAGGAAAAAAGUGAGAUAGACUUUUGAAACCAAAUGAAUGGAAUAUGUUUUUAUAUGCCUCUCAACGUGCAGAGCACGGGCUACUUACUAGUCUAACAUAAUACCCUGGAAUAACCCCCUCAACUCUGUUCAUGCCCCUUUAGGCAAAUCUAUAAUCCUAUUGAAGCACGGCCGUCAUAGAGAAACUAGGUAGGGGUAGAGAGACUCACUAAUCUCAGUAUCUCUAUCAUUGUUGUUUACGAAUGCAAACAUAUCUAUGUGGUAAAUUAUCUUAGUGGCUAAAAUUGCAUGAAUGGCAAAAAAGUAAAAUGAACAUGAGGUAUUUAUAUGAAACCCUAUAUAUCUAAUAGAUUGAUCCCCACUAUUUCUACCUAUCUUAACAUGUGUGUUUUCACAUCAUCGGAAUUGUUGUAGUUGUUAAAUUUACUAGUUUGAUCUACUAGCAUCCGCAGAUCUACACAUGAGAAUAUUUGUGAUGCAACAUGCCUUUGCAUGCUAAAAGGGUUUUAAAUCACAUUUGCAUUUAUUUGUGAUAUACACAACCUUUCAUAUUAAGAUAUUCCGCUAACAUCCGUGUGAUCUAUGCAUGAGAAUCAUCUACCAUGCAACAUGCAUUAGUGCAUUCUAAAUGGGUUUAUUUUAUUUAACUGUGACAUGCACAACUUUUCAUAUUAAGAUUUGCUUAUGUAGAAAUUUUUCACAUAGUGAAAAGUGCAAGGACAGAUAUUCUAUAGAAUAUUUAAAAACUAUAUAUCCAAUUAUGUUCAAUGGCCGAGACAUCCCUUGCUUGGCCGACAAUUAGGAGAAAAAUAGAUCCCUACAAAUAUAUAAAUACAGACUAGUUAGGCAUAUUUUAUAAUCUUGUCUAGCUUGUUCAGUUAUAUUUUUCUUUCUAACAUAGUUUUGAUCUCAGGUUUAGAUCAAAACUAACUUCACAUUUUUUGCAGGGUUUUAUUAAACUUCACAUAUUUUAUUGUAACUUUUAGAUCAAAACAAGGCCCAAAACUAAGUUAAGAAAAUGCUAGGAGUGCUCAUGUGAUUCAUCUAGAUCUAUAUAGCCACACGAACACACGAGCGUGAGUACACCUUCAAGUUUCUUCUCCCAUGUUUAAAUGCAUCCUUUUUUGCGUGUUUAAAUGCAUCCUUGUGAUAGUAAAAUUAAAAAAUAGCUAUUUUAAAAAAAAUUCUGAACUGUUUACGUAUGUCUAAAUUUCUGUGAAGAAUAACAGGUAGAUGCUCCAAAAAGAUUUUCUGAAAAGCAUUUUUAAUGGCAAUUUUUAAAAGUGUUUAUUUUGUUAGUUUUGCCCAUACCUCCACAAACGUCAUUUCUUUACUAAAAUUUGUACGCUGACAAAAACUAAGCAACAUUUUUUGUAAAAAAAAAGAAUCUGAUUUUGUAUUUUAUUUCUAUUUCCCCCUAGUUUAAUAUUGAGCAUUUGAGGUCGAAAUUGGAAGAACCAUUUCGCUAAAAAAUAGACGCACUGUUCGUGCUGCCAUAUCCGCAUGGCCACCGACCUAGGUUGUCCUUGGGUUCGGCCACGUACCCUGAUCCGUGGCAGAGCGCUCGGGUGCCUUAGCCAUGGCGGCUUGGCACGUGGACUCGAUCUCACGUGAGCCGCCCUCGUGUCCUCUCGCCGCUCAGUGCCUUCGCCCCCGAUGAGACCCCGCCGCUCCGCGCAGUUCUCUAUAUCCUCUCUGCUCCGCACGUGUCGCCCUGUCAUGCUCCGUACGCCUCGUCGACCUCGACCGACCCCCGACAAGCCGCCGCUCAGCUGCACCAUUUUAAGCGGACCUCGCCACGGUCGUCUGCCGAUCAUCAGGAAAGAACUGACAAAGCCACUCACUCACCAGACAGCAGUCACCACGUCCAGCUCCACACACCAGCGUCCGAGCUAGCACGCACUCGAUCGCGUCUGUCUCGCUGAGCCACUGACAAUGGAGUCGCAGCAGCAGAGCAGGAAGGAGGCCGCCUGGAAGCGGGAGGAAGGCGGCCAGGGCGGCGUCAGCCUGGAGGAGAUCGGCAAGUUCCGCGCGGAGGCGCAGCAGAACUCGGCGGACGCCAUCCGCGCCGCCCAGGAGCGGUACAACCAGAACCUGCAGCACGGCGGCGGCGGCGCCGCUAGGGGGGCGGUGACCGUCACCCAGGCGCCCGGCGCCACGGUCGUCUCCUACCAGGAGCACAAGGCCCUUCCCGAGGGCGCCCAGCAGGGCCGCGCCCCUGCCGCGGCGCAGGGUCACGGCACCAACGCGCCGGCAGGGGGCACGAUGGCUUCGUCUCGGGGCACCGAGAAGCAGCACGCCACGAAGCAGGAGGAGGGCCGUGGCCAUGGCACGGCCCACAAGGAGCACAAGGGCUCGGCGGCGGUCAGCCGUGCCGCCGAGGACGGCCACGACAAGCAGGGCAGAGAGAGCGCCGCGCGCGGCACCAACGCGCCGGCAGGCGCUACGGUGGCGUCAUCUCGGGGCGCUGAGAAGCAGCACCACACGAAGCAGGAGGAGGGCCGUGGGCAUGGCGCGGGCCACAAGGAGCAGAAGGGCUCGGCGGCGGUCACCCACGCCACCGAGGACAGGGGCAAAGAGGGCGACUCCGCGCGCAGCGCCAAGGACGCGGCCAUGCAAGCGCUCGGAAUCACGGGAGACCAAACUGUGGCCAAGGGCGCCGGAACCAAGGACGCCGGUGCGCAUGGCGCGCAGGUCCGUGGGCAUGACACGGGCCACAAGGAUCAGAAGGGCUCAGACACGGCCGCGCGCAAGCUCGUCUCCACUGGAGACUACGCUGCGCCCAAGGGAGCCCAGGCCAAGGACGCCGGCGCGCAUGGCGCGCAGGUCACCGCGGAAGGCACGGAGGAGGCCACGGCUACCGCCGCCGAGUACGCCAAACAGGCUGCAGCAAAGGCGAAGGAGGUCACGCUCACCACGGGCGAGAUGACGGCGGAGUACGCGAAGCAGGCCGCCGUGAAGGCCAAGGACGUCACGGUGAGCACCGGCGGGACGGCAGCGGAGUACGCUAAGACUGCCGCCGAGAAGGCGAGGGAGGCGGCGCUGGCGGCUGGCAAGACGACGGCCGAGUACACGCAGCAGGCGGCGGUGAAGGGCAAGGACGUCACGGUCUCCACCGGCGGGACGGCCGCGGAGUACGCCAAGACAGCCGCCGAGAAGGCCAAGGACACCGCGCUGGCGGCCGGCAAGACGACGGCAGAUUACACUCAGCAGGCGGCGGUGAAAACCAAGGACGUGACGCUGUCGACCGCCGCGCAAGCGGCGCAGAAGGCCAAGGAGGUGACCGCGGUCACGGCGCAGAAGGUGGCGGAGUACACGAAGGAGAUGGCGGAGCAAGGGAAGAACGCUGCUGCCCAGGCCGAGGAGAAGGCGAAGGAGGCCGCAGCCCGCGCCGCCCACAAGGCGGAGGAGCCGAGCUUCGACACGAGCACGCAGACCAAGCGCUCGGCCGCAGGGGCAGCGGACAAGACCCGCGACAUGACCGAACAAACCAUGAACAAGGCCAAGGACACGACCGGAGCCAUGGCGCAGAAGGCCACUGACACGGCUGCGUACGUCAAGGACUCGGUGAUUGGCGCAGCAGGAGGCACGGCGGACAAGACCCGCGACACCACUGAACAAACAAUGGGCAGGGCCAAGGAGGCUACCGGAGACGCAGGGAAUAGGACCGGGAGCAUGGCCGCCCAGGUGAAGGACGCGACCGGAGCCAUGGCGAAGAAGGCCGGCCACACGGCCGCGUACAUCAAGGACUCGGUGAUGGGCGCGGCCGGAGGCGCCGUGGACAAGACCCGGGACGCCACGUCGCAGGUCGCGCAGAAGACAGGGGAGGCGACGAACAGAGUGGUGGAGACCGGCAAAAGCGCCACCGGCGGCGGCAUGACCGGGACGGCCAAGGCGAAGGUACGUGCACCGUCGUGUCCCUCCACGAGUAUCUGAUUCUACGGUAAGUGUGAUGUAUCCAUAGUUGAUGGCUCAGCUAUGACGUGUGCAUGCAGGGUGAAGGCACAGAAGACACCAAGAUCGUGGAAGACGUGCUGGAGGUGGUGGGCGCGGGCAUGGAGGCGGUGGGCGCGACGGUGUACGGGAUAGCGCAGCACACCAAGGGGAUCGUCGCCGGCGAAGAGGAGCUCAUCCCGGUCGAAGGGGAGGCCGGGAAGGUCGCCGGAGCCGGCGAGGGCAGGAAGAAAUCCGAGUGAGCAGACCCACACGUACGUCGCACCAAAAAUGUUAAGAGAAUGUUGGUUGUGCAGUCACUUUGAUCAGACACGUUUAAAGCGGUGUUGUAUAUAGUUGUAGUAAUAAUAAGUAGUGCACUAUAUGGAGUGCUCAGGUGAGCUGAAUAAUGGUCGUUUAUAGUUAAGAGGGACUAUAUGUCCAGAUGUCUGCUGCUACUAGUACGUUUGGAAGCGCUCAGCUAGUAGAAUGCUCAAAUCUUAUGGAAUGAAAUGGCUAUGUAGUGUGAUACAUCGUGUACUUAGCCAAGUGAACUAGGUAAAUGUUCGUGUAAAUCUGAAGUGAUACUUGUCCACUUCAAUAUUAGAAUCAUCAAGCUCUAUAGGGGGAAACAUAUCACCUUGGGCUUAAGAGCAUCUCUAGCUCUAAAACAGUAACAGUUCCGAGCAGUUUUACGCCUCCUUUG
rnacentral:lncRNA from 1 species